GGUCGAUGCAGGCUCCCUGCCAGCUCAGCUCUCCUUUUGGCUGGCUGACCCCUGAUCUCAGUGUGACUGCAUCUCCAGUGAAUCGAAGCGGUGGGACUUCAGAUGGCUUGGCUUGCAUCUACUACCUCAAUUCUUGUGCUGCAACCCCAGGACAAUCAGCUUUCAUCGCCAGUAUGUCACUAAGCUGGUUUUGUAAAAAUCAAUGUCCUUGAUGAAAGUAUGUAGACAAAUUGAAAGUGAAUACUGGAUUGUCCUGGACGAGUAUAAAAUUUCAAAAGGACACUUCAAGAUCAGACUAGAUCAUGUAAUUGGAUUAAAAGAAAUGAACACAAGGUCUUUUCUUCAAGUUCAAAUUCCAUACAUAUCAAAGAAAAUGAUUUCCAGAAUUCAAAGGUUAAAAGGUGUUUGUAUUAAGAGAUUGAGAUUUUACAAAGACGAGAAAGAGAAAGGAAUCAACCAGUAGAUAAAUAUUUGGGUGAAAUUGAAUCAGCUACCUGAAGCCUUUUUAUACUACAAUUACUGGACCUUGGGAUUCAAAUCAUGUUUCUGCCACUUACUGCUGAAAGGUAUCUGACAAAUGAUUUAACUUUUCCAUACUACAUUUAUCUCAUGGCUAAAGUAGUUGUAACUGUAUGCUAUAAUGUUGAUUGGAAUAGCGCCUGACACAGUGUGCACAAUCCAAGGGUUGGCUAUUAUUAGUACAAUUCUGUUCAGCUUCCAACCUGUCAUGGUAAAAAAUGAUAGAUGUCAAGGUGUGUUAUUGCCUAGUGAAUUUUUAUUUUGGUAUAUCUUAUUUCUAUCUGUAUAAAGAAAAACAGGGUAGCAGAAGGUUUGGUGUCAAUAUAGGCAACGAUGUUUACCAGCUAAAUAACUCUUAGCAAGUUACUUCAUCCUGUUUCCCUUUCUCAAUUGUGGAGGAAGGGGUAAUAUGAGUACUUAUUUACUGGGCUGUUGUAGGAAAGAAAUGAGCCACUCUGGCCAUCCAAUACUGAUAGGUAGGUGAUACAUAAAAACUUUAUGGUGUUGUUAACUAUAAUGAUAGGCAUUAGUAAUUAUCUUUUUGAAUUUACCAUUCUCAUUAGUUUAUUCCUCCAUUGUAAGCCCAAUAUAGUACCUGGAGAUAAAGCCUGGAGAUGACACUUCAGAAUAACUUUUACCCACAUAAAAUCUAUUAUAUUGAAAAGGCUGCAAAAACUUAAAAAGUUUAACUACUCUACUGUAAGUUUUACAUUUUGUACUGCUUUGAUGCUUUUAUAUCAUAAAUGCCAUAAAUCUACUAUGAUGGUAUUAUUAGUGCCUCAUCCAAAGGACUCUUUAUCUCUAUGAGUGAAAUAAUAAUCUGAAAUGAAUUGAUAUUGCUAAAGUCCUGAGAGUCUCUCAGGUAUUUAACAACUUUCUCCUUGACAUUAGUAAUUUCACUGUUAUUAUUGUCACACAAUGUCUUGUAUUUUACUCCUAAGCAUGAAACCCUUCCAUGGUUACACAAUUCUCUCUCAAGGUUUGAUUCCAAUGUUUCUUGAAGUUGGAAAAAAUGGUAACUUAUGAACUGAAAAAAAUUAAUAUGAAUAACAUUAAAAUUUUAUUGAAGCC